AAAGUUCUUCGGAAUGAGUAGAGCGGCGGACGGGUGAGUAACGCGUAGGAAUCUGUCCGGUAGUGGGGGAUAACGUUCCGAAAGGAACGCUAAUACCGCAUACGCCCCACGGGGGAAAGAGGGGGAUCUUCGGACCUCUCGCUAUCGGAGGAGCCUGCGUCGGAUUAGCUAGUUGGUAGGGUAAAAGCCUACCAAGGCGACGAUCCGUAGCUGGUCUGAGAGGAUGAUCAGCCACACCGGAACUGAGACACGGUCCGGACUCCUACGGGAGGCAGCAGUGGGGAAUAUUGCGCAAUGGGCGAAAGCCUGACGCAGCCAUGCCGCGUGUGUGUAGAAGGCCUUCGGGUUGUAAAGCACUUUCAGAGGGGAGGAAACGGUGCGGGCUAAUAUCCCGUGCACUUGACGCUACCCUCAGAAGAAGCACCGGCUAAUUCCGUGCCAGCAGCCGCGGUAAUACGGAAGGUGCAAGCGUUAAUCGGAAUUACUGGGCGUAAAGCGCGCGUAGGCGGCUUCGUAAGUCGGGUGUGAAAGCCCCGGGCUCAACCUGGGAACGGCACUCGAUACUGCGGAGCUCGAGUACGAGAGAGGGGGGUGGAAUUCCAGGUGUAGCGGUGAAAUGCGUAGAGAUCUGGAGGAACACCGGUGGCGAAGGCGGCCCCCUGGUUCGAUACUGACGCUGAGGUGCGAAAGCGUGGGGAGCAAACAGGAUUAGAUACCCUGGUAGUCCACGCCGUAAACGAUGUCUGCUAGCCGUUGGGGUCCUUGAGGCCUCGGUGGCGCAGCUAACGCGAUAAGCAGACCGCCUGGGGAGUACGGCCGCCAAGGUUAAAACUCAAAUGAAUUGAC
rnacentral:rRNA from 1 species